UACGAAGGGGGCUAGCGUUGUUCGGAAUUACUGGGCGUAAAGCGCGUGUAGGCGGGUCCUUAAGUCAGGGGUGAAAUGCCAAGGCUCAACCUUGGAACUGCCUUUGAUACUGGGGAUCUUGAGUCCGGGAGAGGUGAGUGGAACUGCGAGUGUAGAGGUGAAAUUCGUAGAUAUUCGCAAGAACACCAGUGGCGAAGGCGGCUCACUAGCUCGUAACUGACGCUCAAGCACGACAGCGUGGGGAUCAAACAGG
rnacentral:rRNA from 1 species